AGCGAACGUUAGCGGCGGGCCUAACACAUGCAAGUCGAACGCGAAAGGUCUUCGGACUGAGUAGAGUGGCGCACGGGUGAGUAACACGUAGGUAAUCUACCCUUUGGCGGGGGAUAACGUUCCGAAAGGAGCGCUAAUACCGCAUAAGACCACGGAGUCUCCGGACGCUGUGGGAAAAGGUGGCCUCUUCUUGAAAGCUACCACCGAAGGAUGAGCCUGCGUCCCAUCAGCUAGUUGGUAAGGUAAUGGCUUACCAAGGCGAAGACGGGUAGCUGGUUUGAGAGAAUGAUCCAGGCCACACUGGCACUGGAACACGGGCCAGACUCCUACGGGAGGCAGCAGUGAGGAAUAUUGGGCAAUGGGCGAAAGCCUUGACCCAGCCACGCCGCGUGAGUGAUGAAGGCCCUCGGGUCGUAAAGCUCUUUCGGCCGGGAAGAAAUCGCACAGGUUAAUACCCUGUGUGGAAUGACGGUACCGGAAUAAGAAGCACCGGCUUAACUACGUGCCAGCAGCCGCGG
rnacentral:rRNA from 1 species